UACAGAGGUCCCAAGCGUUGUUCGGAUUCAUUGGGCGUAAAGGGUGCGUAGGCGGCGCGGUAAGUCGGAUGUGAAAUCUCGGAGCUUAACUUCGAAACUGCAUUCGAUACUGCCGUGCUUGAGGACUGGAGAGGAGACUGGAAUUUACGGUGUAGCGGUGAAGUGCGUAGAUAUCGUAAGGAAGACCAGUGGCGAAGGCGGGUCUCUGGACAGUUCCUGACGCUGAGGCACGAAGGUCAGGGAGCAAACGGG
rnacentral:rRNA from 1 species